rnacentral:rRNA from 1 species
AUUGAACGCUGGCGGCAGGCUUAACACAUGCAAGUCGAGCGGGGGAAGGUAGCUUGCUACCGGACCUAGCGGCGGACGGGUGAGUAAUGCUUAGGAAUCUGCCUAUUAGUGGGGGACAACAUCUCGAAAGGGAUGCUAAUACCGCAUACGACCUACGGGAGAAAGCAGGGGAUCUUGGGACCUUGCGCCAAUAGAUGAGCCUAAGUCGGAUUAGCUAGUUGGUGGGGUAAAGGCCUACCAAGGCGACGAUCUGUAGCGGGUCUGAGAGGAUGAUCCGCCACACUGGGACUGAGACACGGCCCAGACUCCUACGGGAGGCAGCAGUGGGGAAUAUUGGACAAUGGGGGGAACCCUGAUCCAGCCAUGCCGCGUGUGUGAAGAAGGCCUUAUGGUUGUAAAGCACUUUAAGCGAGGAGGAGGCUACUUUAGUUAAUACCUAGAGAUAGUGGACGUUACUCGCAGAAUAAGCACCGGCUAACUCUGUGCCAGCCGCCGCCGUAACAC